rnacentral:rRNA from 1 species
CGUGUGUUUGCUUUUUGUCAAAAAAUUAUCAUGCUUGUCAACUAAACUAGUCAUUUUGACAACUAAAAUUUUCAUAAAAAAAUUCGCGAUUUGUCAUGAUAAAAAAUCUGACGUUUGGAUUUUAUCAUUUUCAUUGAUUAAUGAUGCGUGCGGUUUACUAAAAUGUAAAAACCGCUGCUCCAAGUGCAAUCGCCAUGGAGAGGGGAGGAGAGGCGCUGGUGGUGGAGGAUGAGGCGGCCGUCCGAGCCGCCUAUGAGAGCGACACGUGGGCAGUGGCGCUUAGGGCUAACGAUCUUGGGCAGGAUUGGGAGACGUCAACCUAGUUCUUCAAUUAACUGGGCCUGACCACGAACAUGUCAAGAGACCUUCAGAACGAACAUGGAUGAAACGACACGAACAGGCGAUUCACCUACGAAUCUAACUGAUUCCAACUAGCUACAGAGAUACAAAAGUAAUAGAAUCCCUUUUCUUUUCCUCGCUAAAGAUCUACACAAAGAUGAGGCCACACGAACAUGAAUUCUCCUAGCUGCCGACUGUCGUCCGUCGACCGAUCGACCGAUCAGUGCACGAGGUAGGUGACGGCGAGCGCGGCGGCCAUGAGCAGGUACGCCACGGCCUGGUCGACCCUCCUGCCGUCGCCGGCCACGGCCGCCAACCCCUCCGCCUUCCUCGCCCCGCCCUGCGCCGCGCCGGCAGCGGGCGCGUCAACGUUCGCCGCGCGAGCCAUCGCCUGAUGACCGACGAACGAUCCGCUCCGAAAAUCGGCUCGACGGUGGAGUCCUUCCCUUCCCUGUGAGCGGCCGACGCAGAAGAAGGUUGCUACUAGAACAAGAUCUGGAUCCGGGCUGUGGGUGUUGGUCGUGGCCAAUUUGUGCUUGGUGGAGAGGCGGUGGAUCUGGCGCGUUUAUAUAGCGGGAUAGGAUUUGGGAGGGUGUUACGGGUCUG